UACGAAGGGUGCAACCGUUGCUCGGAAUUAUUGGGCGUAAAGCGCACGUAGGCGGCUAUCUAAGUCGGAUGUGAAAUCCCUCGGCUUAACCAAGGAAGUGCACCCGAAACUGGAUAGCUUGAGUACAGAAGAGGAUCGCGGAAUUCCCGGUGUAGAGGUGAAAUUCGUAGAUAUGACAUAGAACACCAAUUGCGAAGGCAGCUCACUACACAGUUAUUGACGCUGAGGCACGAAAGCGUGGGGAUCAAACAGG
rnacentral:rRNA from 1 species